GAGGGUAUAACUCAGUGGUAGAGUGCAUGCUUAGCAUGCAGGAGGCCCUGGGCUCAAUCCCCAGUACCUCCA
rfam:Camelus ferus unplaced genomic scaffold scaffold557, whole genome shotgun sequence.